GCAACAGUGUGGCGUAGUGGUUUGAGUGUUGGACUAUGAGUCUGGAGACCAGGGUUCGAUUCCCUGCUGGGCA